rnacentral:rRNA from 1 species
AACGCUAGCUACAGGCUUAACACAUGCAAGUCGAGGGGAAACGAUAUUGGAAGCUUGCUUCCGAUGGGCGUCGACCGGCGCACGGGUGAGUAACGCGUAUCCAACCUGCCCACCACUUGGGGAUAACCUUGCGAAAGUAAGACUAAUACCCAAUGAUAUCUCUAGAAGACAUCUGAAAGGGAUUAAAGAUUUAUCGGUGAUGGAUGGGGAUGCGUCUGAUUAGCUUGUUGGCGGGGUAACGGCCCACCAAGGCGACGAUCAGUAGGGGUUCUGAGAGGAAGGUCCCCCACAUUGGAACUGAGACACGGUCCAAACUCCUACGGGAGGCAGCAGUGAGGAAUAUUGGUCAAUGGGCGAGAGCCUGAACCAGCCAAGUAGCGUGCAGGAUGACGGCCCUAUGGGUUGUAAACUGCUUUUAUAAGGGAAUAAAGUGAGUCUCGUGAGACUUUUUGCAUGUACCUUAUGAAUAAGGACCGGCUAAUUCCGUGCCAGCAGCCGCGGUAAUACGGAAGGUCCGGGCGUUAUCCGGAUUUAUUGGGUUUAAAGGGAGCGUAGGCCGGAGAUUAAGCGUGUUGUGAAAUGUAGACGCUCAACGUCUGCACUGCAGCGCGAACUGGUUUCCUUGAGUACGCACAAAGUGGGCGGAAUUCGUGGUGUAGCGGUGAAAUGCUUAGAUAUCACGAAGAACUCCGAUUG